GGUGGCUCAAUGGUAGAGUGCAUACUUUGCAAGCAUGAGGCCCUGGGUUCGAUUCCUCAGCACCA
rfam:Dipodomys ordii contig_55743, whole genome shotgun sequence.